rnacentral:rRNA from 1 species
CCUACGGGAGGCUGCAAUUAGGAAUCUUGCGCAAUGGGGGCAACCCUGACGCAGCGACGCCGCGUGGAGGACGAAGGCCCUCGGGUCGUAAACUCCUUUUGACGGGGAAGAAGGAAGUGACGGUACCCGUCGAAUAAGCCCCGGCUAACUACGUGCCAGCAGCCGCGGUAAUACGUAGGGGGCGAGCGUUGUCCGAAGUUACUGGGCGUAAAGCGCGCGUAGGCGGCUCUUCAAGUCCGGGGUGAAAGGUUCAGCGCUCAACGCGAACAGUGCCU